rnacentral:misc_RNA from 1 species
AACUUGUUCUUGAAAGUUAUUUCGAAAAGUGUUAGAUAAUGCCUAAAAAGAUAUAAUAGGUAUAAUGAACAAUCGCAGCUGAUGAUUUUAAAUAUAUUGGCUUUUUUUCAACUGGAAAAGGAACAAGUCCGAAACGGCAUUGCACUUCAAAUUGAGAAUGUGAUAGAGCGAGCCGCAGAUGCAACAAAAUUGAGCACAACAACGAUCGCAAAUAUAAAGAAGAAUGGGAUAAAAUCAGAUCAGGAUUACGCAGCCCGUAUAUCUUCCAAGCAAAAGACAGAAAAAGCCAAAAUUACAACAUAUUUGAAACAUAGAAUUUGGGACACAAUUUAUUCUAUGUACGCCAGAAAACAAUAUGUAAUAUUGGCAACAAUAAGAGAAAAGUUCAAGGAAGAAAUUGAAUAUUUUGAGUUUUCCAUUGACUCCUUAAGAAGAUGGAUCAAUAGUAUAGGCUUCAAGUGGAAAAAAUCAAAUAACAGAAAAUAUUUGAUGGACUUGCCAUAUAUUGUUCAUAAAAGAAUCAAUUUUUUAAGGGAGUAUAUCAAAAAUAGAAAUGUAGGUCUGGAAGGUUUUACUCCAGUUUUCAUUGAAGAGACGUGGAUUUUUAGCAAGGGAUCAUUUCGUAGUAGCUGGCAAGAUGACACCAAGCACACGGAUUCAAGCAAAAACAGUGAAGGUCAUCGUUAUAUCGUGGUCCACGUCGGAACCAAAGAUGGCUUCAUCAAGGGUACAAAUUUAAUAUUCAAGAGUGGAUUAAAGACGGGAGAUUAUCAUGACAAUAUGAACAGGAAAAACUUCGAAAACUGGUUUAAAACUCAGCUGGUUCCAAAUCUUCCACCAAAGUCAUUUAUAAUCAUGGACAAUGCAAGUUACCAUUCUGGUUUAUUAGAAGAAAUCCCGAGAAAAUCUUGGACAAAGCAGAGACUCACCGAAUGGUUGAAGAAAAAGAAUAUUGGCUUUCCAAAAAAAGCCAUGAAAGAUAAAAUAUGCUGCAACUGCCCUAGUGAAAAAAGUACUUCCUUGAUGAAUAUAUUAAACCUUUAGGACACAAAAUUUUGCGACUGCCACCAUAUCAUUGCCAGUUUAAUGCAAUUGAAAUGGUAUGGUCGGAAAGUAAACGAAAAUAUGAUCAAUAUAUUUCCAAUUUUAAGCGGUCACCUUCAGAAGUUCUGACUACAUGGGAAAGGGUAAUAAACGAAAUUUCUCUAGAUCAUUGGCAAAAAUAUGUUUUUCAUACAGAAAAGGUAAUUGAAAAGGCUUGGGAGGCAAUACGAGUGUGUGAUGCCUAUGACAUUUUGCCACUUGUGAUUACGACUGACGAAGACGACGAUGACGAAGACAAUAUCUCUAAUUUCAGUUCUCACUCUAACAAUACUGACGAGAUUGAUUAAGCUUUUUUUGUUCUAGCAAAUGCUAAAGUUUCUAACCUAAUAUUGAUUGGCAAAAAUAUCUCUGCCAUACGUUUUUUCUCACCUGGAUGACGUAACUACAAAUGGGUAUAAUUUCGACUUUACAAGACGUCCUUUAACAUGCAUAUGCAGACUUUUAAGUACUUUAAUUGAAAUCUUAUCUGCUCCUGAAGAGCAGUUAUUCUUUAAACUGUUAAUACACAUAACAAUUUUAUUUUAAUUAACAGGAGUCAGAUACAUAAAGGACAGUACAUUUUUUCUACUAAUAUGAGGUGUAUGGGGAUUUUGAAUAUUCUGUGCCAUCUUUUUACCAAUAUUUACAAAAAAAUCAUUGCAAAAAUUUCUUUUUUUUUUGUUAUAAUAGUCCUAUUUGCUUUUAUUUGCUUAAUGCUUGAUUUAGUUACAGUUUUAUUUGUAGCCUCCGAAAUUAAUUUAUAGGUUUUUCUCAUGUCUUUUGCGCAAUUUGUUAUUUUCUCGUGAUAAAAAUUAUGUUUUAUGGCCCUGAUUAAGUUAUUUAAUUUGUUUCUGUAUUUUUUGUAUUCAAUUAUUUUUCCGAGAUCAUUAUUAUAUUUAAGUACUUUCUUCAGUUUGUCACGGUUUUUUAUAGAAUUAAUAAUUGCGGUCGUAAUCGUAAGCUUUAGUUUUUUUGUUUUUUUUAUAACCAUUUAUCUUUUUUUCUGAUAAUUUUAAUAUGUUCUGUAUAUUCUUCAAAAAACAGUCUGUGGCAUUAUCGAGAAUAGGCUCAGCUAUAACAUUUUCCCAAUUUACCUCUGCGGCAAGAGAGAAUAGCUUUUGAAAAUUGAUUAUAGUUUCCCCUUAACUUUCCGCUGAUCCACCUUCACUGAUGCAUCCUAUUGUUUGAGCAACAGGAAUGUGCAGUUAAUUUAAAAUAUUAUUUAGUGAACUUUCCUACCAGUCAAUGUCAAUAGGUACUUAAAUCAGUUAAAAUUUAUUGCGAUAAUUUAUGUAUUAUUGUUAGUAACUAUGAUAUACAGCCUUAGGCAAAGAAUUAAAAUGAUUUUGGCGAGCAAGGAAGGUGCUCAAGUAGAGAUUUUUGGAACAUUCGUUGUAAAACCCUCUAAUUUUCUACCUACACUUCUAACUGGAAUAUCACAUCAAACCGAAAUUUAUAAGGAUGAUUUUGAAGAAUAGAGUUUUGCGAAACCAUGUCCAAGAUAAUAAAUACUCGUGAAAUUUUGAUAACCAAAAUUUGCUUCAGUGAUGAAUGUACCUUUUUCCUAGGCGGCCAUGUCAAUAAACAAAGUUGUCAAUACUGGAGUAACAAUCCCCAUAUUUUUAGAAAGGGUGCUACACAGUGACACACUGGAAGAAGACUUCCAGUGUGUCAACUGGAGAGCUCUACUUACACCUACUUAAAGUUGUAAUAAUAUACGUUACAGAAAUAAUGUCUAAUAAUAAGUAAUUUGUAAUGUUUAAAUAACCCUAACUUGGCAACGCAGCACUCAAAUUUAAAAAAUAAGGAGCCAAAAUAUAGGGAAUAAAAAGUUCUUUCAAAUGGUGUAUCAUUGAAUAUCUUUUGCCAUUUAAGAUUUUCGAGAGGAAGAUUUUGGGGGGUAGGAGGUUGAAAGAGGCAAACUGAUUUCUAUAUAAAAAUUGUUUCUCCUCGAGAAUAAAAUUGACGUGUCUUUAUUUUAUAAAAAUCUAACUAGUUUCAAGGUAAUAGGGGUGGGAAGUUUUCAAAUGAAUACCCUGUAUAUUUAAUUGUAUUAGCUGUAUUUUUAGGAUUUAAUAAUUUUUUUUAA